rnacentral:rRNA from 1 species
UACAGAGGGUGCGAGCGUUGUCCGGAAUCACUGGGCGUAAAGGGCGCGUAGGCGGCUUUUCAAGCGUGCGGUGAAAGCUCGGGGCUUAACUCCGAGUCUGCCGUGCGAACUGGGAGGCUUGAGUCUGGUAGAGGUCGAUGGAAUUCCGGGUGUAGCGGUGGAAUGCGUAGAGAUCCGGAAGAACACCGGUGGCGAAGGCGGUCGACUGGGCCAGUACUGACGCUGAUGCGCGACAGCGUGGGGAGCAAACAGG